GGAGAGGUGCCAGAGUGGCCGAAUGGGCCUGACUCGAAAUCAGGUGAACGCUCGCGCGUUCCGAGGGUUCGAAUCCCUCCCUCUCCGCCA
rnacentral:tRNA from 3 species